GUGCUUGCUUUGCAGCACAUAUACUAAAACUGGAAUGAUACAGAGAUUAGCAUGGCCCCUGUGCAAGGAUGACAUGCAAAUUCGUGAAGCAUUCCAUAUUAUU
ensembl:snRNA U6 U6 spliceosomal RNA